CCAGCCAUCAAAUUUCUUUUUCUUUAGAAAUUUUGAAGUUUCUGACAUAUUCUUUGUAAGAAUUUCAAAAUUCUCAUCAGUGGAACAUUGACAGUAUGUAAUUUCAGCAUAUUUUCUUCUCUUUACUGCCUUAGUACAUUCGUUAUCCCACCAAGGAGGAGAAGGAAUAAAACCCAAAGAACUAUUUUUAAUUGGAAAUAUCUCAUUGGCAACCUCAAUAAAGAUUCUUGCUAAAGAAUCUGCACACUGAGAUUCUGUACCUGGAUUAAUUUUUGGAAGUGUUAGAAAUGAUAAUAAUAGUGGGAAGUGAUCACUACCAAAAGUAGAUCGUAAUGGAUCCCAGGACAAAGAAGAAGCAAGAUUAGGUGUAGUGACUGUUAAAUCUGGAGCACUUGGGACCUCGUCAGGAUGAGAACGUCGUGUAGGACGACCAUCAUUUAAUAUACACAAAUUCACUGAAUCAAAUAUAUCUAUUCAUGUGUUACCAUAACUAUUAGAAGAUAAGUAACCCCAGGUUUCAUGGCGACAGUUAAAUCACCAAGGAUCAUAAAAGGCUUCGGAAAAAUGGAAAUAAUAUCUUUAAUUUCAUUUAAGAUUGCAGAUGAAGGAUGAGGUAUAUAAAUAGAUACAUAACAGAUAUUUUCAACUAAAGCAGCAAUAAUAGAAAAAUCAUUACUGUGAGAAGUAAUAGAGAAGAGAGAAAAGGAAAGAGGGUGUUUCACAAGCAUGGCUACUCCGCCAUGCCCAUCCACACGAUCUUCUCUGAGGCAUGAAUAACCACGAAUCUUAAAUAAAGAUCCUGGUUUCAACCAUGUCUCUUGAAGAGCACAGAUAUAAGGUUUAUAUUUAAUAAAUAAAUAAGAUCACUUUUUUUAGGAGUGAUGCUUUGACAAUUCCAUUGAAGAACUUUGUCCAUUAUUUGGUUUAUAAAUUUGAGUAAUUGCAGAAACUAAUAAGGCAGCGUUGGACGAUGAAAAUUCAUUCGAUUGACUAAGAGAUUUUAUAAGAGAAAUAAUUAAAUCAAUUACUGAGGAUUCCAAA